GACGAACGCUGGCGGCGUGCUUAACACAUGCAAGUCGAACGAUGGUGCCCAGCUUGCUGGGCGGAUUAGUGGCGAACGGGUGAGUAACACGUGAGUAACCUGCCCUUGACUUCGGGAUAACUCCGGGAAACCGGGGCUAAUACCGGAUAUGAGCCGUCCUCGCAUGGGGGUGGUUGGAAAGUUUUUCGGUCAGGGAUGGGCUCGCGGCCUAUCAGCUUGUUGGUGGGGUGAUGGCCUACCAAGGCGACGACGGGUAGCCGGCCUGAGAGGGCGACCGGCCACACUGGGACUGAGACACGGCCCAGACUCCUACGGGAGGCAGCAGUGGGGAAUAUUGCACAAUGGGCGAAAGCCUGAUGCAGCGACGCCGCGUGAGGGAUGAAGGCCUUCGGGUUGUAAACCUCUUUCAGCAGGGAAGAAGCGCAAGUGACGGUACCUGCAGAAGAAGCGCCGGCUAACUACGUGCCAGCAGCCGCGGUAAUACGUAGGGCGCAAGCGUUGUCCGGAAUUAUUGGGCGUAAAGAGCUCGUAGGCGGUUUGUCGCGUCUGGUGUGAAAACUCGAGGCUCAACCUCGAGCUUGCAUCGGGUACGGGCAGACUAGAGUGCGGUAGGGGAGACUGGAAUUCCUGGUGUAGCGGUGGAAUGCGCAGAUAUCAGGAGGAACACCGAUGGCGAAGGCAGGUCCCUGGGCCGCAACUGACGCUGAGGAGCGAAAGCAUGGGGAGCGAACAGG
rnacentral:rRNA from 1 species